AUUGAACGCUGGCGGAAUGCUUUACACAUGCAAGUCGAACGGCAGCACGGGGCAACCUGGUGGCGAGUGGCGAACGGGUGAGUAAUGCAUCGGAACGUGCCAUUGAGUGGGGGAUAACGUAGCGAAAGUUGCGCUAAUACCGCAUAUUCUGUGAGCAGGAAAGCAGGGGACCGCAAGGCCUUGCGCUCUUUGAGCGGCCGAUGUCAGAUUAGCUAGUUGGUGAGGUAACGGCUUACCAAGGCGACGAUCUGUAGCGGGUCUGAGAGGAUGAUCCGCCACACUGGAACUGAGACACGGUCCAGACUCCUACGGGAGGCAGCAGUGGGGAAUUUUGGACAAUGGGCGCAAGCCUGAUCCAGCCAUGCCGCGUGAGUGAAGAAGGCCUCGG
rnacentral:rRNA from 1 species